rnacentral:rRNA from 1 species
GGAGGCAGCAGUAGGGAAUCUUCCGCAAUGGGCGAAAGCCUGACGGAGCAACGCCGCGUGAGUGAUGAAGGUCUUCGGAUCGUAAAACUCUGUUGUUAGGGAAGAACAAAUUUGUUAGUAACUGAACAAGUCUUGACGGUACCUAACCAGAAAGCCACGGCUAACUACGUGCCAGCAGCCGCGGUAAUACGUAGGUGGCAAGCGUUAUCCGGAAUUAUUGGGCGUAAAGCGCGCGUAGGCGGUUUCUUAAGUCUGAUGUGAAAGCCCACGGCUCAACCGUGGAGGGUCAUUGGAAACUGGGAAACUUGAGUGCAGAAGAGGAGAGUGGAAUUCCAUGUGUAGCGGUGAAAUGCGCAGAGAUAUGGAGGAACACCAGUGGCGAAGGCGGCUCUCUGGUCUGUAACUGACGCUGAUGUGCGAAAGCGUGGGGAUCAAACAGGAUUAGAUACCCUGGUAGUCCACGCCGUAAACGAUGAGUGCUAAGUGUUAGGGGGUUUCCGCCCCUUAGUGCUGCAGCUAACGCAUUAAGCACUCCGCCUGGGGAGUACG